AAUGAACGCUGGCGGUAGGCCUAACACAUGCAAGUCGAACGAGUGGCGGACGGGUGAGGAAUACAUCGGCAUCUACUCUGUCGUGGGGGAUAACGUAGGGAAACUUACGCUAAUAACGCCUUCGAUACAAUGAGCCGAUGUCGGAUUAGCGAGUUGGCGGGGUAAAGGCCCACCAAGGCGACGAUCCGUCGCUGGUCUGAGAGGAUGAUCAGCAACACGGGAACGGAGACACGGUCCAGACUCCUACGGGAGGCAGCAGUGGGGAACAUUGGACAAUGGGCGCAAGCCUGAGGCAGACAUACCGCGUGGGUGAAGAAGGCCUUCGGGUGGUAAAGCCCUUUUGUUGGGAAAGCGGUACCGAAAGAAUAAGCACCGGCUAACUUCGUGCCAGCAGCCGCGGUAAUUC
rnacentral:rRNA from 1 species